AUGCAAAUGAAUCAUUUGCAUCUCAUUAGCGGGGCGGGGAGGGGAUUCCUGGGAAAAGGAGCCCCGGGAAUUGGGAAUUCCCUUCCUGGGAGCCCCGGGAUGGGUUCGGGGUCCCCUCAGGGAUCCCAAAAUUCGGGAUUUGGGAUCUGCCGGGAAAGCCCCAAAAUUUGGGAUUUAGGAUCCACCUGGGAAUGCCCCAAACUGGGAUUGGGGAUCCCCUGGGGACCCUCCCAGUUCAUCCCAGUUCAUUCCCAGUUCAUCCCAGUCCAUCCCAGUUCAAUCCCAGUCUCCCCCAGUUCAUCCCAGUUCAAUCCCAGUCCAUCCCAGUUCAAUCCCAGUUCAAUCCCAGUUCAAUCCCAGUUCAUCCCAGUCCAUCCCAGUUCAAUCCCAGUUCAAUCCCAGUUCAAUCCCAGUCCAUCCCAGUUCAUCCCAGUCCAUCCCAGUUCAUCCCACUCCAUCCCAGUCCAUCCCAGUUCCAUCCCAGUCCAUCCCAGUCCAUCCCAGUUCAUCCCAGUCCAUCCCAGUUCAUCCCAGUUCAUCCCAGUUCAAUCCCAGUUCAUCCCAGUUCAUCCCAGUUCAAUCCCAGUCCAUCCCAGUCCAUCCCAG
rnacentral:lncRNA from 1 species